GGGUGUUCCUGCGUGGCUCUGGCUGCUGCAGCCUUUUGCUGCCUAGUGAGCGCUACAGGACUGGUACAGGGACCACUGUGUCUGCACAACAGCACACAAGGUCUGGCCUGGGAGAUGCCACUCAAACCACAGAAAAGCGGAGAUCCCAUCUACCUGUUUGAUAGAACAUUAUGGCCGGCGGCCUGCGAGGAGCCACGCAACGUUGUUCAAUGGAAUGUAGUGCUGUUUUCUGUUCUCAUGGCAACCAGUGGACUGCAGGCCAUCCUUUGUGCAGCACAUACAAUCAAUGCUAUCCUGGGCAUAAUAUUUGGGCCAAGAUUCUGCAAAAACAAGGUCAGUCCAGCUUGAGGACAUCAUCCAGGAACCUUAUUAGGAGCAGGAAUGAAGGACCUCCCAAAUGAAGUACUGUAGUUACUAAAUGCUGAUUUUAGGUCAGUUUUACAUAUUUCCCGCCUAAUGGAUGAGGUCAGGAUUGCGGAGGUUUAGCUGAUCCUGGAUCUAUGCUUACAGGCAGCUUCUACCACCGCUGAACAUUGGUUCUGGCCACCAGUCAGCAUUUCACAAACUAAGAAGCAGACUUGCACUUUAAAGAAUAUGAUUUUAUUAUGUUUUGAUAAGCUAACAGAGUAAAACAGGGAGACAAAAAAGGAAGAUUUAGAAGGGGAUAGAGGUAGAUGGGAUGGGGAGAAGCUGUUUUGGAGUUUGCAGUUUUAUAUACCUAGAUGAUACCAUUCAGACCGGUCUCUACACUUUGCUUGCAAGUUGGCACUCUUAUUGUUGACAGUGUGUACACGUUAUUAUAUUGCAAACAUUAUUUAUGUGUGUGUACUGCUGAACAAUUGUGAAGCUGUGAUCUUAUAUAUAGUCAUUUUGUUAAUUAUAUUAAUGUCACAGUCUAUUAAUUUCAUGAAGUGUAAUCAAACCUACAUCCUUAGUGGGGUGCAGGGCCAAAGAAAGUUGGUAUGAAAGAAAUGGAGCCCGCACACUCAAGCUCAAUCACAUACCUUUAUUCAAAUCAAAACAAAUCCAAUUGUAUUGUUCACAUACACAUGGUUAGCAGAUGUUAUUGUGAGUGUAGCUAAAGGCUUGUGCUUAUAGUUCCGACA